rnacentral:rRNA from 1 species
UACGGGGGGAGCAAGCGUUGUUCGGAAUUACUGGGCGUAAAGGGCUCGUAGGCGGCCAACUAAGUCCGACGUGAAAUCCCAAAGCUUAACUUUGGAACUGCGUCGGAUACUGGAUGGCUUGAAUUCGGGAGAGGGAUGCAGAAUUCCAGGUGUAGCGGUGAAAUGCGUAGAUAUCUGGAGGAACACCGGUGGCGAAGGCGGCAUCCUGGACCGGUAUUGACGCUGAGACGCGAAAGCGUGGGGAGCAAACAGG